rnacentral:rRNA from 1 species
GGGCCCGCACAAGCGGUGGAGUAUGUGGUUUAAUUCGAUGCAACGCGAAGAACCUUACCAGGGUUUGACAUCCUGCGAAUCUCUUGGAAACGAGAGAGUGCCUUCGGGAGCGCAGUGACAGGUGGUGCAUGGCUGUCGUCAGCUCGUGUCGUGAGAUGUUGGGUUAAGUCCCGCAACGAGCGCAACCCACGUCUUUAGUUGCCAGCAUUCAGUUGGGCACUCUAGAGAGACCGCCGGUGAUAAACCGGAGGAAGGUGGGGAUGACGUCAAAUCAUCACGGCCCUUACGUCCUGGGCCACACACGUGCUACAAUGGUGGGGACAGAGAGCAGCCACUCCGCGAGGAGGAGCGAAUCUUCAAACCCCAUCACAGUUCGGAUCGCAGUCUGCAACUCGACUGCGUGAAGCUGGAAUCGCUAGUAAUCG